rnacentral:rRNA from 1 species
AACGAACGCUGGCGGCAUGCCUAACACAUGCAAGUCGAACGAGACCUUCGGGUCUAGUGGCGCACGGGUGCGUAACGCGUGGGAACCUGCCCUUAGGUUCGGAAUAACUCCCCGAAAGGGGUGCUAAUACCGGAUAAUGUCUUCGGACCAAAGAUUUAUCGCCUUUGGAUGGGCCCGCAUUGGAUUAGCUAGUUGGUAGGGUAAAAGCCUACCAAGGCGACGAUCCAUAGCUGGUCUGAGAGGAUGAUCAGCCACACUGGGACUGAGGCACGGCCCAGACUCCUACGGGAGGCAGCAGUGGGGAAUAUUGGACAAUGGGCGAAAGCCUGAUCCAGCAAUGCCGCGUGAGUGAUGAAGGCCUUAGGGUUGUAAAGCUCUUUUACCCGGGAUGAUAAUGACAGUACCGGGAGAAUAAGCUCCGGCUAACUCCGUG